GUUUGUAGUCAGUCUAUUUGAUGAUUAAAUUUUAUUUAUUUAUUUUGGGGUUGGUUUUGGUUGAGUCAGGAUCUCCCUACCUAGUUUAGGCUGGACUUGAACUCACUGUGUAGCCCAGGCUGGCCUUGAAUUCUCAAGGAUCCUCCUUCCUCAGCCUCCUGACUGCCGGGAUUACAGGCCUUCACUACCACACCCAGUUUGAGGAUUAAAUUUUAAACGUAUUGGUCCUAAAUUGAGAACUGUAAUUGAAAAUAGGUAAACAGUUUCUUAAAUACUAAAUAUUUUUAUUUGUGCUUUUUCCCAAAGUAAGAAUUCUUAUCUGAGCCAUCAAACUUUAGUCUUUUAAACAUUAAUAAUAAACACUAGGCUGGGCAUGGUGGUGCAGGCUUGUAAUCCCAGCACUGGGCAGACUGAGUAGGAGGAUCACUGUGAGUUCAAAUCCAGCCUGGACUACAAAGUAAGACACUGUCACAAAAAUAAAUGAUGAUAACAAUAAUAAUAAUAAUAAUAAUAAUAGACACUACAUAGUAGUGCUAAAAGUGAGAAUUGGGUUCCAAAUUAAUUUAAACAAAAAUCAAAUAAUGUUAAAGGGAAGCCCCACCAUAUCUUAGUACAGUCUGAGUUUGUCGCCCCACUGGUGACUCACCUCUGCAGGUGUUUUGUGUUCUUGCAGUCUGCCCUUGGCCUGGAAAUGAAACGAAACAGUGCAGCAGCAGGGAAAAGAGGAGGAGAGUGUACCCUCCCACCUGUGAAAGCUCCUCUCCAAACAAAGAAGAAAGCAACAACAAAACAUUGUUUUCUUUGUGGAAAGAAAACUGGACUGGCUACUAGCUACAAAUGCAGGCAGGUUGAAUGCAGGAAGGUUGGCCAGCUGGAGCAGCUCAGAUGCUUUUCUGGCAAUGACCUAGCCUGGGGAUUAUGCAAAUAAAGCAUGAUUUAAGUUGGCUUCUCACAACAUCAAGAUGAUGUUCAAAUAGCAGCCCUCAGGUGAAUCCCUGAUUGACUAAAGUCAAGAACAAGUAAGGGCUGGAGAGUUAGCUCAGUGGUACUCUGCGUGCCUUGCAUGCAUAAGCUCCUGAGUUCAAUCCCUGGUAUGGGGGGGGGGGGCAAUUUUGGUCCAGGGAUUAGCUCAGUGGUGCUGUGCCUGCCUCAAAAGUGCAAGGUGCUGAGUUCGAUCCCUGGUACCAAAAAAAAGAACAAGUAGAUAACUCAUGAGUUUGCAAGAGGCAAAAGCAGAUCCUGCACUGUCCUCUAACUAGGAGAUUCGAGCUAG
rnacentral:lncRNA from 1 species